rnacentral:sRNA from 1 species
CGUUACUGCAUUUUGCAGUGCGUUUCCUCCCUAGACUAAAGGCCGCGCCCGCAUGGGCAGCGGCCCUUUUUUUUGGCUCG